ACAGAAAUAUGUGGUAAAGAUAGAAGGUUCGUUCGGGCAUGGUUUGAUGAGUUUGAGAGCUGGCUUGAGUAUAGUGAGUCCAAACAAAAAGCAUAUUGUUUUUGUUGUUUCUUGUUUAGACCGCGCAAGAAGAAAGAAGUUGGAUAUGAUGCAUUUUUUGCAAAUGGUUGGUCAAGUUGGAAUAAGAAAUAUAGAUUAAGGGAGCAUGUAGGAGACAUCAAUAGUGCUCACAACCAAGCAAAAAGAGAUUGUGAUACUUUGCUGAAACAAAAGCAACACAUUUAUGUUGCUCUAAACAACCAAAGUAACGCUGAGAGGAAUGCUUAUUAUACUCGACUAAAUGCCUCAAUUGAUGUUACUAGAGUGUUACUGAAGCAAGGGUUGCCUUUCCGUGGCCACGAUGCGUCUGACGAGUCUCUCAAUAAAGGUGGAAGUGCCAUAGAGACAUUAGUUGGCCUUACUCAUGUGAAGGAGACAACUUCCAAGUAUCUCAAGUCUGCCAUUGAUGAUUUAUUUGCAGAAUAUAAGUUAAGUUUCAAGCAAGUUAGAGGGCAAGGAUAUGAUGGUGCGAGCAAUAUGCGAGGUGAGUUUAAUGGCUUGCAAUCCUUAAUCAUGAGAGAGAAUAGCACAUCAUAUUAUGUUCACUGUUUUGCACAUCAGCUUCAGUUAGUUGUUGUGGUUGUUGUUCGGAAGCACAAAUGCAUUGGUAAUUUUUUU
rnacentral:rRNA from 1 species